GGUCGGUUAGCUCAGUUGGUUAGAGCGUGGUACUAAUAUGCAACCUCGCAUGUUCAGUAAUGCCAAGGCCGGGAGUUCAAGCCUCCCACUGAUCA
rnacentral:tRNA from 1 species